rnacentral:rRNA from 1 species
AUUGAACGCUGGCGGCAUGCCUUACACAUGCAAGUCGAACGGCAGCACGGGAGCAAUCCUGGUGGCGAGUGGCGAACGGGUGAGUAAUGUAUCGGAACGUACCUUUCAGUGGGGGAUAACGUAGCGAAAGUUACGCUAAUACCGCAUAUUCUGUGAGCAGGAAAGCAGGGGAUCGCAAGACCUUGCGCUGAUUGAGCGGCCGAUAUCAGAUUAGCUAGUUGGUGAGGUAAAGGCUCACCAAGGCGACGAUCUGUAGCGGGUCUGAGAGGAUGAUCCGCCACACUGGAACUGAGACACGGUCCAGACUCCUACGGGAGGCAGCAGUGGGGAAUUUUGGACAAUGGGCGCAAGCCUGAUCCAGCCAUGCCACGUGAGUGAAGAAGGCCUCGG